ACUCCGCUGAUAGGAGGCUAACGUGUCGGAGACAGUGCCGUCCGGCCAAGCAUCACACAAACGGAGUGUGACCGGGCCGACGGUUCGUUGGCGGAGGCAGAGAUCAAUGUGAAUGAAUCGUACGCGCGGUACAUGUUUACUUGGAGAGGCACGAGUACAUCUUCGGACGAUUUCAUCAUACAGAUUCCCAUAGAUAUUCACCACGAAGGCGCUGAAAAUUGUCUCCCAAGGAUGCGUUUGUAUUCCCAUCCAAUUGUGUCAUCCAAUCAUCACAGCAUAGAUAAUACAAGCUAUAGAUUGUCAGCUGUCAGCGCAUUUCAGAACGCACCUCACAUAAGUUUGUUCUAUUUAACUGUAUUAAAACAGCAAGGAACAAAUUGGACAAACGAGACUAGCAUAAAUUUUCAUGAAUGAAAGUGGAAUAAAAAGGGAAUAAAAAGAUUUCAGAUCGACAUGAUAAA